CAUGCGCUACGUCACGGCCCGGUUUUUAAAGCCCCCUUGGAUGGUGCAGAGACGGUGAGAUGUUCGCUUCGUGCGCGUUUACCCUGGCAUUUCUAACUAAUGUCUGAGGGGAAUUUACAACGAUGAAUGGGAUGUUUUAGCGUAGGGCGUUUAGUGUGAAUUUUAGAUUCGACGAACGAUUAAGGUUACAGCAGGGCGUGGAUAGCAUCAAAAUGUCCGAUAAUAUGGAUAACACAGAAAACGGACCAAUAAAAAAGAGUGCAUUUCUAUCUGUUUCGUGGAUUGUCACGAACUACCGACAAAGCCCUCCCGUAGGCCCAAUGAAGAUGAAUCAUAUCUACCAAAUUUACCUGGAAGCUCUUAUGGUGUCAAACCUGUUGCUUGAAAUAAUCUGAAAAACUCAAUUAUCUGAGUGCUAUUUUUAAUAUCCCAAAAGAAAUUGUGAAACAGGAGAACAAUGUAAAAUAUCUCAACAUCAGGAGUAUACCAGACUCUGAUCAUGAGAAACCAACUUAUUUCCUCCCAUUUCCCAAGGGAGUAUCUGGUGCUCUAGCUGAAGCAGGUUUUAUUAUUUCCAGUGCAGAUGAAUGUGAAGCUGUUGCCACCAAAUCCACAGAGUCCAUGUCUGGCAGAAGGAGGAUAAUGAAACAAAUUACAAUUGAUAGCAGCGGUGCUGAACGUUUGUGCCUGUCACACCAAAUUUCUAUCUGCAUUGAAAAGAAAUCCUAAAAUAGAGGAUGCCAGGUCAUCCAUAGUUUGAGAUAACAGCUGCUUCUUCUGGUCAGAGGCAGUUGUGGCCCGUUCCUCAGACUGCGCGUCAAUACUGACAUCACUACUCCCAGUAGCUUGUCACUGCCAUCUUUAAUUGGUCUUAGACGUACUUGCUGGUUUGCUAUAGAAGUUAUAAGCAUAGAUUUAAAGCUGUAAAAGUGCUUCAAUUUUUAUAGUUUUUUUGCCCUCAUACAUAAACUGUGUUUUGGGUGUUUACGCAGUGGUCACUUUUAGCUAAGGUACUAAUUUACAAGGUAACAUAAAUUUGUUCUCUCGCACACUAAGUUCAGAAUGAGGUUAUACAGGCAACCCCAAUAACCAAGUAACAUUAACAUGGGUAGCUUAUUAUAUAAAGAAUCUUAACCAGAUAUGGAAUUUAAUAAUAAUAUAAUAAUAAUCUUUAAUAGUUCAAGCACAAUUUUACAAAGGCUAUGACCAAACAAUUACAAAGGUACCAUAUUGAGAAAGGUUAAUGCUUAGUGUGUAUACUGAAACGUAAAUUCUGUUAUACACCCAUUAUCAGAGAUGACAAUUA